rnacentral:rRNA from 1 species
GGAUUAGAUACCCUGGUAGUCCACGCCGUAAACGAUGUCUACUAGCCGUUGGGCUCCUUGAGAGCUUUGUGGCGCAGCUAACGCGAUAAGUAGACCGCCUGGGGAGUACGGUCGCAAGAUUAAAACUCAAAUGAAUUGACGGGGGCCCGCACAAGCGGUGGAGCAUGUGGUUUAAUUCGAAGCAACGCGAAGAACCUUACCUACUCUUGACAUCCAGAGAAUUUGCUAGAGAUAGCUUAGUGCCUUCGGGAACUCUGUGACAGGUGCUGCAUGGCUGUCGUCAGCUCGUGCCG